GGGAGCUCAUCAGGCAGCACGGGCUGGAGGCCGUGCAGGCCUACAUGGGAUACGUGCAGGCCAACGCCGAGGACACGAUGGACGACGGGACCCCCAUCAGACUGAGGGUGCAGCU